rnacentral:rRNA from 1 species
CAUAGGUUAAUGAGGCGAACCGGGGGAACUGAAACAUCUAAGUACCCCGAGGAAAAGAAAUCAACCGAGAUUCCCCCAGUAGCGGCGAGCGAACGGGGAGCAGCCCAGAGCCUGAAUCAGUGUGUGUGUUAGUGGAAGCGUCUGGAAAGGCGCGCGAUACAGGGUGACAGCCCCGUACACAAAAAUGCACAUACUGUGAGCUCGAUGAGUAGGGCGGGACACGUGGUAUCCUGUCUGAAUAUGGGGGGACCAUCCUCCAAGGCUAAAUACUCCUGACUGACCGAUAGUGAACCAGUACCGUGAGGGAAAGGCGAAAAGAACCCCGGCGAGGGGAGUGAAAAAGAACCUGAAACCGUGUACGUACAAGCAGUGGGAGCACGCUUAGGCGUGUGACUGCGUACCUUUUGUAUAAUGGGUCAGCGACUUAUAUUCUGUAGCAAGGUUAACCGAAUAGGGGAGCCGAAGGGAAACCGAGUCUUAACUGGGCGUUAAGUUGCAGGGUAUAGACCCGAAACCCGGUGAUCUAGCCAUGGGCAGGUUGAAGGUUGGGUAACACUAACUGGAGGACCGAACCGACUAAUGUUGAAAAAUUAGCGGAUGACUUGUGGCUGGGGGUGAAAGGCCAAUCAAACCGGGAGAUAGCUGGUUCUCCCCGAAAGCUAUUUAGGUAGCGCCUCGUGAAUUCAUCUCCGGGGGUAGAGCACUGUUUCGGCAAGGGGGUCAUCCCGACUUACCAACCCGAUGCAAACUGCGAAUACCGGAGAAUGUUAUCACGGGAGACACACGGCGGGUGCUAACGUCCGUCGUGAAGAGGGAAACAACCCAGACCGCCAGCUAAGGUCCCAAAGUCAUGGUUAAGUGGGAAACGAUGUGGGAAGGCCCAGACAGCCAGGAUGUUGGCUUAGAAGCAGCCAUCAUUUAAAGAAAGCGUAAUAGCUCACUGGUCGAGUCGGCCUGCGCGGAAGAUGUAACGGGGCUAAACCAUGCACCGAAGCUGCGGCAGCGACGCUGAUGCGUUGUUGGGUAGGGGAGCGUUCUGUAAGCCUGUGAAG